GAUGAACGCUAGCUACAGGCUUAACACAUGCAAGUCGAGGGGAAACGGCAUUGAGUGCUUGCACUCUUUGGACGUCGACCGGCGCACGGGUGAGUAACGCGUAUCCAACCUUCCCAUUACUGUGGGAUAACCUGCCGAAAGGCAGACUAAUACCGCAUAGUCUUCGAUGACGGCAUCAGAUUUGAAGUAAAGAUUUAUCGGUAAUGGAUGGGGAUGCGUCUGAUUAGCUUGUUGGCGGGGUAACGGCCCACCAAGGCAACGAUCAGUAGGGGUUCUGAGAGGAAGGUCCCCCACAUUGGAACUGAGACACGGUCCAAACUCCUACGGGAGGCAGCAGUGAGGAAUAUUGGUCAAUGGACGGAAGUCUGAACCAGCCAAGUAGCGUGCAGGAUGACGGCCCUAUGGGUUGUAAACUGCUCUUGUAUGGGGAUAAAGUUAGGGACGUGUCCCUAUUUGCAGGUACCAUACGAAUAAGGACCGGCUAAUUCCGUGCCAGCAGCCGCGGUAAUACGGAAGGUCCAGGCGUUAUCCGGAUUUAUUGGGUUUAAAGGGAGCGUAGGCUGGAGAUUAAGUGUGUUGUGAAAUGUAGACGCUCAACGUCUGAAUUGCAGCGCAUACUGGUUUCCUUGAGUACGCACAACGUUGGCGGAAUUCGUCGUGUAGCGGUGAAAUGCUUAGAUAUGACGAAGAACUCCGAUUGCGAAGGCAGCUGACGGGAGCGCAACUGACGCUUAAGCUCGAAGGUGCGGGUAUCAAACAGG
rnacentral:rRNA from 1 species